rnacentral:rRNA from 1 species
CCUACGUGUGGCAGCAGUAGGGAAUCUUCCACAAUGGGCGCAAGCCUGAUGGAGCAACACCGCGUGAGUGAAGAAGGUUUUCGGCUCGUAAAGCUCUGUUGUUGGAGAAGAACGUGCGUGAGAGUAACUGUUCACGCCGUGACGGUAUCCAACCAGAAAGUCACGGCUAACUACGUGCCAGCAGCCUCGGUAAUACGUAGGUGGCAAGCGUUAUCCGGAUUUAUUGGGCGUAAAGCGAGCGCAGGCGGUUGCUUAGGUCGGAUGUGAAAGCCGUCGGCUUAACCGAAGAAGUGCAUCGGAAAGCGGGCAACGUGAGUGCAGAAGAGGACAGUGGAACUCCAUGUGUAGCGGUGGAAUGCGUAGAUAUAUGGAAGAAAACCAGUGGCGAAGGCGGAUGUCUGGGCUGCAACUGACGCUGAGGCUCGAAAGCAUGGGUAGCGAACAGGAUUAGAUACCCUAGUAGUC